GUAGGGGGCAAGCGUUAUCCGGAAUUACUGGGUGUAAAGGGUGCGUAGGUGACAGGGCAAGUCAGAUGUGAAAGCCCGGGGCUCAACCCCGGUACUGCAUUUGAAACUGUCCAGCUGGAGUGCAGGAGAGGUAAGCGGAAUUCCUAGUGUAGCGGUGAAAUGCGUAGAUAUUAGGAGGAACACCAGUGGCGAAGGCGGCUUACUGGACUGUAACUGACACUGAGGCACGAAAGCGUGGGGAGCAAA
rnacentral:rRNA from 1 species